UGUGGAAUCAUUUUAGAAAGAGUAAAAUGCAUGGGAGGCCCUUUAACUUGUAGGGCUGUGUCAAAUAGGUCCACCAACUCUGAAAAUGCAUUUUUGGUCCCUAAUCUUGUUUAGCCAUGCGCUAUAGGUCCAAAACACCACGGGAUGGCCUUUUUGCCAAUGUGGCAUCGCUAACAUGGAAUCCACACAGCUGCAGCACACGUGAGGGGGUGGGCCAGUGUGGAAAUAUGCACGUUAGCCCCUGGCUUUCCAUUUUCUUCACAUAACUCAACCAAUCCCCUCAUUGAGUUCUUCGACUACUAGGGUGGAGGGGAGAUGAAGGACAGCAGCGAUGAUUGGUGCGAGUCGGCGGGGAAGUAGGGAGGAAGAAGGGUCAAGGAGCAUCCGCGGAGCCAGGGAACCACGGUGAACGUCGCCCGCGGUGAGAAAUUUGUGAUGGUGCCCUCCUUGCUUGCAAAGGAGAACCGCCGCCCAUGUAUGGUGCUGACAGUGAUCUGUUCACAAUUGAGUUGCAUCACGGGGUUUCUUUGUUAGUCAUGGGUCGAAUUGGGCUUAUGUUGAUGAUAAAGUCUCCUACUUUGAUCAUUGUGAGGUAGAUAGUUGGUCUACUCUAUGGAUAGAUGAUUUUCUUGAGUAGCUAAAUUACCUUAAGAGUACAGCUUUGAAGGUGUAUUGGUUGCUACCAGGGAAGGACCUUUUAGAUGGGCUUAGAAUUGUCUGUUCAGAUGCUGACACACUGGUGAUGAUGUCUGUGGUUGACAAGGUGAAGCAGUAUGUGCUAUAUGUAGACCAUGAUGACAAUAUUGUAGAAUUAAGUUGGGAUGAUACUAUAGCAAACCUAGUGGCUUCUUUACCAAAAGUAUUAAGCCCCAGGAAGGUUAAAAUUAUUGAGAAGAACCAUGAAGAGAAGCUACCUGUGUUUUAUUCCAACUUGAAGAUUGUGGUAUAUGAUGAAGCAACAGGAUAAGGUCAAGCUAACUAUGAUAGUGGCACUGAAGGAAAUGACAGUGAGGAUGACCAAGAAUUUCUUAAUAGUGACUAUGAUAUAGAAGAUGAUGAUGAUCUUUUUGUUGACAAUGUUGAUGAGGAUGUGGUGGAUGAAGGAAUUGGCAGAGGGAAGAAAAUAGGGAUAUGAAAGAAGGCUUUAAGCAAGAAGGGUAAAGGGUCAGUUCUUGUGGACCAAGAUGGUGAGGAAUUGUCAAUAGAUUAAGAUGACUUGCAGGCACUAGACUCAGAUAGUGAAGGUCAGAUCAAAUGGGGUUCAAGGCAUUUAGAUCAGGGGAUUUGCACAAUCAUUCAAGGUGGGUAUGUUAUUUGAGUCAGUUCAGCUGCUGAGGAAGGCAAUCACAAAAUAUAGAUUGAAGGAGAGGGUGGAAAUCAAGUUGUCAAGAAAUGAGAAGAAAAGGCUAAGGGUACAUUGUGCAAAUGGAUGUCCUUGGGGCCUUUAUGCUUCACAUGAUGGCAGGGCUAAAGGGUUGGUGGUGAAUACAUAUUGUGGUAAGCAUAACUAUCAAAAGCACCGGGUGUUGAAGAGGUGUACAUCAAAAUGGCUUGCUGAUAAGUAUCUAGAAUCCUUUAGAGCAGACUAAAUGAUGUCUCUCAGUAACUUUGCUAGAAUUGUUCAAAAGGAGUGGAACAUGACACCAUCAAGAUCCAAACUUGCAAGAGCUAGAAGACUUUCCAUGAAAGAAGUACUAGGUGACGAGGUAGACCAAUACAAAUUGCUUUGGGACUAUGGCCAUGAGUUGAGGAGAAGCAACCAUGGCAGUACUUUCUUUCUCAAUCUGAAUGGUAAUAGGUUCAGCACUAUGUACAUGUCACUUGAUGCUUGCAAAAGAGGUUUCUUGAGUGCUUGUAGGCCUAUUAUUUGUUUGGAUGGAUGGCAUAUUAAGACAAAAUUUGGAGGACAGAUUCUGACUGCAGUUGGUAUAGAUCCAAAUGAUUGUAUCUACCCAAUAGCAAUAGGCAUUGUUGAGGUGGAGUCACUAGCCUCAUGAAAUGCUUUCUCCAGGCCUUGAAAGACAACCUCGGCAUUGAUAACACUUAUCCAUGGACAAUUAUGACAUAUAAACAGAAGGGGCUAAUUCAAGCUAUCCAACAACUUUUCCCUGAUUCAGAACAUAGAUUCUAUGCUAGGUAUCUCUACUCCAACUUCCAGAUGCACUUCAAAGGGGAGAACUUGAAAAAUCAACUUUGGGCAUGUGCUAGGUCUAGUAAUAUAGUUCAAUGGAACCAGGAUAUGGAUAUGAUGAGAGAACUGAAUCCUGAUGCUCAUAAGUGGUUAGAGGAGAUGCCACCACAAACAUGGGUUAGAACUUUCUUUAGUACUUAUCCCAAGUGUGAUAUGCUAUUGAACAACACAUGUGAGGUCUUCAAUAAUCUAGACGCUAGAGAAGUGCAUGUGCUUAGCAUGUUACAAUAGAUCAAGACUCAACUGAUUACAAGGCAUUACAACAAGGAGAAAGAGGUGGGAGAUGUAUGGCAAGGUCCAAUCUGUUCAAAGAUUAGAAAGAAGUUGCAAAAGAACAUAGAGCUAGCUAACAUAUGUUAUGCUCUACCUGCUAGCAAGGGGGUUUUUGAGGUGCGGGGCAAAACCAACAAAUACAUUGUGGACAUUAGCUUGAAAAACUGUGACUGCAGAAGGUGGGAUCUCACUGGAAUCCCUUGCUCUCAUGCUAUCUCAUGCUUGAGGCAUGAAAGAAUCCCUCAAGAGUUAGUUCUCCCUUAUUGCUACUCCACAAUAAGUUUCCUGCUUGCUUAUGGUAACAGCAUUUAGCCAUGCAAAGAUAAGAGUUCGUGGGAGAAGAUUCUUGCAUAAGAAGUGUUUCCACGUGUUUAUGAGAAGAAGGUUGGUAGGCCACCCAAAUCAAGGAGGAGGCAGCCAUAUGAAAUUGAAGGCCCAAAUGGUCUAAAAUUGACAAAGCAUGGGGUCAUCAUCAACUGUAGGUAUUGUGGAUCAUCAAGUCACAACAGAGCUGGAUGCCCAUUGAGAAAGCAGGGUCAAGCUCCAACACAAGUGCCUACACAAGUGCCUGUAGAAGAAUAUCAAGCUUCGGCACAAUCAGAAUCGACACAUCAAGUUGGAGAAACAAUGGAUGAUGACCCAUUCACUUCUCAGCGAGACUAGUUCCACCUACAGCAGCAACAAAGGUCGGAAGAUCCAAAGCAACUAAGCGUGAGGAAGCUCCUGUAGCAGCUCCAAAGAAAGAAAAAGCUCCAAAGAGGCUAAACCAACAAAGAAUGGUGCCCCAGGGCACACUUGAUGGUUGCCUGGUGAUUUGGUACAGCAGCAACACUAAACAAUAUGGGACUUGUCUAUGGUGCUUUUGUGUAGCACAAACACUUAUUACUCUUUUGAUGUCUUCGACCUGGUUUAGGGAAGAUAAAUGUAUAGUUCAAGGAAGAUUAGCUAUAGUUCAAAACUUAUCUAUUACUCUUUUGGUUUGAUAGAAUUAUAUGUACUCAUCCCAUGCAAACAUGCCAUGACUAGAUG